rnacentral:rRNA from 1 species
UACGUAGGGGGCUAGCGUUGUCCGGAAUCAUUGGGCGUAAAGCGCGUGUAGGCGGUCCGGUAAGUCCGCUGUGAAAGUCGGGGGCUCAACCCUCGGAUGCCGGUGGAUACUGUCGGGCUUGAGUACGGAAGAGGCGAGUGGAAUUCCUGGUGUAGCGGUGAAAUGUGCAGAUAUCAGGAAGAACACCAACGGCGAAGGCAGCUCGCUGGGACGGUACUGACGCUGAGACGCGAAAGCGUGGGGAGCGAACAGG